rnacentral:rRNA from 1 species
CGGACGGGUGAGUAACGCGUGGGGAACCUGCCCUGUACAGGGGGAUAACACUUAGAAAUAGGUGCUAAUACCGCAUAAGCGCACAGUAUCGCAUGAUACAGUGUGAAAAACUCCGGUGGUACAGGAUGGACCCGCGUCUGAUUAGCUGGUUGGCGGGGUAACGGCCUACCAAGGCGACGAUCAGUAGCCGGCCUGAGAGGGCGGACGGCCACACUGGGACUGAGACACGGCCCAGACUCCUACGGAAGGCAGCAG